rnacentral:misc_RNA from 1 species
CACGUACAAGCAAUAAAUCCCAACUCAAACCAUAAGAUCACCUCAUUACUUAAUCCUCACGAACAAACGACCCCUAACAAAACAAGAACUACUAAAAGAAUUACCAGAACAACCAUAACCACUACAAGAGAACUCUAAUACAUUGAGUGGCAAAUUCGCAAGCAACCAAACAAAAGUCAAGCAUUUCAUUAACCCAUUGACCGUAUGAAAAGCAUAUAACUUCUUACAAAAAAUAAAUAGCUAUAUUGUACACUCAAACCCUAGAAAACGAAGAGAAAGAAUAAAGCAGAGAUUACCAGGGAAAGAGGGGGGGG